UGACAAAACGAAUUGUGGUUUUUCUCAGA
rnacentral:piRNA from 1 species